rnacentral:lncRNA from 1 species
UCAACUGAUUCUUUGCUUGUGUUACUCUGUUGUAUCUCACUCACAAAAGGUUCAUCAGCUUCACCUUCAUCCGAGGCAGGUAAGUUAAGGUCAAUCAUAGUCCGCAGCUGUGGUUUCUCUCCAUGAUCCUUAGUGCCAGAAGAACUGGUAGCAGGAACAGGUUCUCUGCUGAUGUUCGAGCCGGAAUUUGACAGAGGUUCAACCCAUAUUUUUUUCUCCAAGAAUGGAAUUUCCAGUGAAAGAACAUUCCCUUUAAAUUGUGCACCGUCAGUACAGUAACUGGCCUUCUCUUCUUUUACUCUCGGAGCCUCAAAGAAAUUAGCAGUUACAUUCUCACUGGACAUUGAAUUGUUGGGACAGAAGCUGGC